GACGAACGCUGGCGGCGUGCCUAAUACAUGCAAGUCGAACGAGAGCGACCGGUGCUUGCACUGGUCAAUCUAGUGGCGAACGGGUGAGUAACACGUGGGUAACCUGCCCAUCAGAGGGGGAUAACAUUCGGAAACGGAUGCUAAAACCGCAUAGGUCUUCGAACCGCAUGGUUUGAAGAGGAAAAGAGGCGCAAGCUUCUGCUGGUGGAUGGACCCGCGGUGCAUUAGCUAGUUGGUGAGGUAACGGCUCACCAAGGCCGUGAUGCAUAGCCGACCUGAGAGGGGGAUCGGCCACAUUGGGACUGAGACACGGCCCAAACUCCUACGGGAGGCAGCAGUAGGGAAUCUUCCGCAAUGGACGCAAGUCUGACGGAGCAACGCCGCGUGAGUGAAGAAGGUUUUCGGAUCGUAAAACUCUGUUGUUAGAGAAGAAUAAGUGCUAGAGUAACUGUUAGCGCCUUGACGGUAUCUAACCAGAAAGCCACGGCUAACUACGUG
rnacentral:rRNA from 1 species